rnacentral:lncRNA from 1 species
UCAUUGGUGAGCCCAUAAAAAGAUGGAAGCAUUUGGAUCACACUAGACUUUAUUUCAUAUUGUACAGCUGCUACCUCAGGUAAUCGAAUGCAAGAUGGGGAAGUGUAAAUAGUGGGAGUAAAGUAUUUCCUCAGGAGUUUGGGUUGUUCUUCAGCCAUCUUAAGAGGUGGGGAUGAUCCUAAUGUUUUGAUCUUAGCUCGAAUGUUCCUAAGGGUUCGU